UACGUAGGGUCCGAGCGUUGUCCGGAAUUAUUGGGCGUAAAGGGCUCGUAGGCGGUUUGUCGCGUCGGGAGUGAAAACACGGGGCUUAACCCCGUGCCUGCUUCCGAUACGGGCAGACUAGAGGUAUGCAGGGGAGAACGGAAUUCCUGGUGUAGCGGUGAAAUGCGCAGAUAUCAGGAGGAACACCGGUGGCGAAGGCGGUUCUCUGGGCAUUACCUGACGCUGAGGAGCGAAAGCGUGGGGAGCAAACGGG
rnacentral:rRNA from 1 species